AACGAACGCUGGCGGCAUGCCUAACACAUGCAAGUCGAACGAGACCUUCGGGUCUAGUGGCGCACGGGUGCGUAACGCGUGGGAACCUGCCCUUAGGUUCGGAAUAACUCCCCGAAAGGGGUGCUAAUACCGGAUAAUGUCUUCGGACCAAAGAUUUAUCGCCUUUGGAUGGGCCCGCGUUGGAUUAGCUAGUUGGUAGGGUAAAAGCCUACCAAGGCGACGAUCCAUAGCUGGUCUGAGAGGAUGAUCAGCCACACGGGGACUGAGACACGGCCCAGACUCCUACGGGAGGGAGCAGUGGGGAAUAGUGGACAAUGGGCGAAAGACUGAGCCAGCAAUGACGCGUGAGAGAUGAAGGCCGUAGGGUUGUAAAGCUCUUUUACCCGGGAUGAUAAUGACAGUACCGGGAGAAUAAGCACCGGCUAACUCCGUG
rnacentral:rRNA from 1 species